UACGUAGGGAGCAAGCGUUGUCCGGAAUCAUUGGGCGUAAAGCGCGCGUAGGUGGCUUCGUAAGUCCGUUGUGAAAGUCAAAGGCUCAACCUUUGAAAGCCGAUGGAUACUGCGGAGCUAGAGUACGGAAGAGGCGAGUGGAAUUCCUGGUGUAGCGGUGGAAUGCGCAGAUAUUAGGAAGAACACCGGUGGCGAAGGCGGCCCACUGGUCCGGUACUGACGCUGAGGUGCGAAAGCGUGGGGAGCAAACAGG
rnacentral:rRNA from 1 species